rnacentral:rRNA from 1 species
AAGUCGAGCGAGAAAGCCCGCAAGGGUGAGUACAGCGGCGCACGGGUGAGUAACACGUGGGUAAUCUGCCUCAAAGCCCGGAAUAACCUGCCGAAAGGCGGGCUAAUACCGGAUGAGCUCACGGGGGCCUCGGCCCCAGGGAGAAAAGACAGCCUCUGCAUGCAAGCGGUCACUUUGAGAUGAGCCCGCGGCCUAUCAGCUAGUUGGCGGGGUAAUGGCCCACCAAGGCGAAGACGGGUAGCUGGUCUGAGAGGAUGGCCAGCCACACUGGAACUGAGACACGGUCCAGACUCCUACGGGAGGCAGCAGUGGGGAAUAUUGGACAAUGGGGGAAACCCUGAUCCAGCGACGCCGCGUGUGUGAUGAAGGCCUUCGGGUCGUAAAGCACUGUCGCGGGGGACGAACGUCGUGACCUUGAACACGGGUCGCGUCUGACGGUACCCCGAGAGGAAGCACCGGCUAACUCUGUGCCAGCAGCCGCGGUAAUACAGAGGGUGCGAGCGUUGUUCGGAAUUAUUGGGCGUAAAGCGCUUGUAGGCGGUCCUGUAAGUCGGGUGUGAAAGCCCUCGGCUCAACCGAGGAAGUGCGCCCGAAACUGCAGGACUUGAGUG